CGCCAUCACUCCUACGGGAGGCAGCAGUGGGGAAUAUUGCACAAUGGGCGCAAGCCUGAUGCAGCCAUGCCGCGUGUAUGAAGAAGGCCUUCGGGUUGUAAAGUACUUUCAGCAGUGAGGAAGGCGGAGUCGUUAAUAGCGGCCUCGUUUGACGUUAGCUGCAGAAGAAGCACCGGCUAACUCCGUGCCAGCAGCCGCGGUAAUACGGAGGGUGCGAGCGUUAAUCGGAAUUACUGGGCGUAAAGCGCAUGCAGGUGGUUUGUUAAGUCAGGUGUGAAAGCCCGGGGCUCAACCUCGGAAUUGCAUUUGAAACUGGCAGACUAGAGUACUGUAGAGGGGGUAGAAUUUCAGGUGUAGCGGUGAAAUGCGUAGAGAUCUGAAGGAAUACCGGUGGCGAAGGCGGCCCCCUGGACAGAUACUGACACUCAGAUGCGAAAGCGUGGGGAGCAAACAGGAUUAGAUACCCUGGUAG
rnacentral:rRNA from 1 species